rnacentral:rRNA from 1 species
UGAAAGACGGCAUCUCGCUGUCGCUAUAGGAUGGGCCCGCGGCGCAUUAGCUAGUUGGUGAGGUAACGGCUCACCAAGGCGACGAUGCGUAGCCGACCUGAGAGGGUGAUCGGCCACACUGGGACUGAGACACGGCCCAGACUCCUACGGGAGGCAGCAGUAGGGAAUCUUCCACAAUGGGCGAAAGCCUGAUGGAGCAACGCCGCGUGAGUGAAAAAGGUUUUCGGAUCGUAAAACUCUGUUGUAAGGGAAGAACAAGUACAGUAGUAACUGGCUGUACCUUGACGGUACCUUAUUAAAAAGCCACGGCUAACUACGUGCCAGCAGCCG